UGGGCAUGAUGUGCGGGGAGAUCGGGAGGUCCUGGAGUGAGCCGAUCCCCCUUUCUCCGCAUCUGUCCUCCUCCCCGACCUCUCGCCACCGCCAUCGUCCUCGAAACUCUCUGCUAGAAGAUCUCUCCACCGCCAUCUUCCUCCGAUCGCCCGACGCCUUCGUCAUCUACGGGGUCUGAAGAACCCUAGCGCGUUCUUGCUCCGGGUUCUUUCUCCGUCUAACCUUUUCUUGGAUGCAGCGGACGAACUGGUGGGCGCAGUGCUGGGAGUCAGUACGAGUUCCAAGAUCCAUCUUGGACAUGUUGGUCCGGGAUCAACGUUCUCUUCCUAUACCAGAAACUAAUUGUUCUGUUGUUCAACAAAACUUUGAUGGAAUAAUUAGCCACGGAGUUUACUUCUUUCUUUUGCAUUCAUCUGGAGUCGCUGACUUAUGUUUUGGUGAGAAGAUGGGAUCAGAGCAGGGUGGUACGUUGCACAUGAAAACUUGGAGUUGGUAGUAAGUUCCCCUCCUUUAUGGAUUAAUGGUAUGCAUUCGGGCAAAAUCCCUUUUCUUGUGAACUAUGAGUAUUUUGAAUCAGGGAAUAAGUUGAAGUGGUUGGAUCAUCCCUAAGGACCAGAUUUCUCUGCACGACAUAAUGUACAGCGGUAAGAAGACCACCCCGUGUGGGCAGGUGACAUCACGGACCGGAAGGGGCCUACUGGUGCUAAACACAUCGGUACUGGAGCCAUUUCUUCUCUAUUUUUGGAAGCUAAUGCAACCGUGCAAUGAAGCUAAAAGACAUGGCCUGGCCUUGUUUUGCAUAUUCUCAGCAUGUUCAAAUCUUCUUAUAAAAUGGAUGACUUGCAUGAAUAUCAUGAAGUGGACUUGUCACUGUAGAUAAUAUCAUCCAUUUUAUAAUCCAUAUUAAAAUUCUAAUUCUAAAUGAUCUGUGGAUCAAUUUUAUACUUGUUGACCAUAGCUUUUUGUUCAUUUUGGGAAAAUCCAAAGUUACCUCACAGUUCUUUGAGCAUGUCCGCAGGUACAACUAAUUUCAGAGCCUACAGGUAAUUAGGCUUUUCAACAUGAAUUGUCAGAAAACUACCUGCUUAUAUUCAGAAAGAGAGAAUUAAUUAAAAUCUAAUUUGUAAAUGCAUUUGAUGAAUAAGAGAUCAACACAAGUCGGUCUCAGAGAUCGAAUUUUUCAUACAAGGACAAUAGUUUAAACUUGACAGCAUCGCCUGUAGAAUACUUGCAGGUUUGCCAGCCCUACUCUAGCAUAACUGCAAAACUGGGAAUUUGAUCUAGAAGAUAUGACCAUGCCAAAUUUUCUUCUAAGCUUUCUUUGUUGGCAUUAAACAAUCUUAAUAGUGUGAUCCAUUCAUUUCCUUCUCUUCAAAGUCUAACUAAAUUCACUAUUGCAGAAAACAAGUAAACUCUAUUUCAAAGUUACCAAGAUAUAAUUGAAGAAGAUGCCCUCACCUUAUUUCCACAAAGCUAACUAUGUUAAGUUACCAAGAUAUAUCAAAUGUGAUAAAAGCACUGGUGGGCUUCUCAGUAGGUGACAAUGGCAGACUAACGCCAGGUUGUUAUUCAUGUUUCUAAAAUGGGGAUGGCCUGGGUGGAAAGAGUUGUAGAUUAGAUCAACAAAGUUUGUCAUAGUUCAUGCACCUAAAGUCAAUCAGAACAGCGGAUUGCAGGUUCCCCACCCUAUAGUCUGUUUGAGUAUGAAAAUGAAGCGAGAAAUACCCAGUGGUUUCAGCAUGAAACAAGCGAGCUUGGUCUUCUUUGUUUCCCUCAUCGA